GGAGGUUGAGUUGUUUUUUUUUAUAUAUAUAUAAAUAUAGACUGUAGUUUCAAAAUGAAGUUAUUCUGAUAUAUAUUUUAUAUCUGUAUUUAUGGUUGGAAGGGGGAUGUCUUAUUCCUGUGAAAUACGACAUCAUUAAAGCACUUAGGAACAUUUAGCUCAGCACUUUUCAGACUUUUCCACUUGUGAUCAGUAAUGAUCCGGUUAUCUCAUCUGUGAAGUGAAUUUGGUGCUUUGAAUCCUCUAGCAGAAAAAAAACCCAAACAACAAACAACCCAAACACUUUUGUUGUCAUCAAUAUAUUAGUUUCCUGUGAGCCUUACAUUAUUAAAUAUUGUAGAUAUUAUUCUUUACCAAUAGUUUUAUUAAUUCCUAUUUCUGAAUUUCUAAGGAGUCUGAUCCUGAUCUUACUACCUUCACUCAAAAAGAAAUGUGUGUGCAGCUUUUUCUUCUUUUUUUAAAAAUUUCCUUCCCAAUUUUACAGUUCAGCUAUGUGAAGCUUUUGAUUUAUUUUACCUUUUUUCCCCCUCCAGUUUUGCAUUUUUAUACCUUUGUUAUCUUUUUGAGACAGAAAGGAAAACAAAAACUAGUAUCUGCUGUUGCUGGUUUCGAUCCAAGUGCACAACAGAUCAAAAACAUGAAAGAGUGGAUAGCUACAAGAAGAAAGUAGAAUAUAUGAGUGCAAUAUCUGCACAACUAUUUUCACUGUACCCUCCAGAUUACUUUGACCAUGUGUGUUGGGUCACCUUUACGUAUCCAUACCAUUUCUUCACUGGUUUUAAUUAUCAUAGACUGGAAACAGACGGCACUCGAGGAGCCUAAUGUGGCACGCCGUGCUACUUAACUAACCAUUGCGUGGCUUAUAGCUUGGACUCAGACAGGAAAGCACAAAACACCCUGGUUUUCUUUUAUUUCCAAAUAAACCCUCCUUCAGUGCUUUGGAUUUUACAGUUAAGAUGCCGUUGAGAGAUGAACGACACAAUUCCUUUGUCGUGAUAAUGCGACGCUGGACGGCUUACUAGUGAAGGCUGACACAAAGUGGCUUCUUCAACUCAAAAGAGCUGUGUUACCAAUUUUUUCUUGCCAAGGACAGCCCUGUUUUGCCCUCAAGUUGCUGGUUUAUUGCUGAAGGAUGUUUCAUGCCUUUACCAUGUUCGGCGGCGCAGCAAGACUAGCAGAAGGAGAAGUCUUGAUUGUCAGCGCUCAAGGAGUUUUUACAUCAAGGUGAAGUGCAGAAUUAGCCCUUUGGUGAGGCUGAACCUAAAAUGAAACCAAGAAGUGGUGUAAUUUGCCUAUUGCACAUGCUGAGAUCUAGAUCAUUGAUGGACCCACAGUGAAGCUUUUUCCCUCAGGUCCGUGGGACAAUUUGUGAGCCUGAAACUAAGUGGUAUGGCAGGACACUGUGAUCAGAACACGAUUUUUGCUACAGGAGGAGCACCUAUUCCUGCAUCAGUCUUCUGGACAUGUUGAGUUGGAAAGGGGAUGACUGUGCAAGAACUAUUUAGAACAUGCAUGGAUUUUGCCUAAGUAAGCAAACACUGUUUUGAAAAGCCAUCUUAGAAGUCAGAGAAGACACUGGAGGUUAUUGGAAAACCAGACCUGCCAUCUCUAGGAUCUCUUACACAUGAUUCCAACAACUGCUUCAGGUGCUGAACAAUAUUUAUUGAGCGACCUGGAGCUCAGGCAGCAGCGCUGCUCUCCAGAUGGCUUUCCACAGCAUCGUCUUCUGACACACGCCACCGAGCCACGAGAUGGAGACAGAAAUUCCAGUGUGGGGA